rnacentral:rRNA from 1 species
UCCUACGGGAGGCAGCAGUGAGGAAUAUUGGUCAAUGGGCUUACGCCUGAACCAGCCAAGUCGCGUGAGGGAAGACUGCCCUAUGGGUUGUAAACCUCUUUUGUCAGGGAGCAAUUGUCGCUACGUGUAGCGUUAUCGAGAGUACCUGAAGAAAAAGCAUCGGCUAACUCCGUGCCAGCAGCCGCGGUAAUACGGAGGAUGCGAGCGUUAUCCGGAUUUAUUGGGUUUAAAGGGUGCGCAGGCGGACCAUCAAGUCAGCGGUAAUAUCGUGGGGCCCAACCCCAUCCCGCCGAUG